UACGUAGGGUGCGAGCGUUGUCCGGAAUUAUUGGGCGUAAAGAGCUUGUAGGCGGUCUGUCGCGUCUGCUGUGAAAAUCCGGGGCUCAACCCCGGACUUGCAGUGGGUACGGGCAGACUAGAGUGUGGUAGGGGAGACUGGAAUUCCUGGUGUAGCGGUGAAAUGCGCAGAUAUCAGGAGGAACACCAAUAGCGAAGGCAGCUCGCUGGGACGGUAUUGACGCUGAGGCGCGAAAGCGUGGGGAGCAAACAGG
rnacentral:rRNA from 1 species